rnacentral:rRNA from 1 species
GACGAAAGAUGCAAGCGUUAUCCGGAUUCAUUGGGUUUAAAGGGAGCGUAGGCGGCCUUGUAAGUCAGUGGUGAAAUCUCUCGGCUUAACUGAGAAACUGCCAUUGAUACUGCAGGGCUUGAGUACAGUUGCCGUUGGCGGAAUAUGACAUGUAGUGGUGAAAUACAUAGAGAUGUCAUAGAACACCGAUUGCGAAGGCAGCUGACGAAACUGUAACUGACGCUGAGGCUCGAAAGUGUGGGGAUCAAACAGG